rnacentral:rRNA from 1 species
AAAGUUGAAAAGAACUUUGAAGAGAGAGUUCAAGAGUACGUGAAACCGUUCAGGGGUAAACCUGAGAAACCCAAAAGAUCGAAUGGGGAUAUUCAUCGUCAGCUCACUUUGUAUUAUGCAGGCUGUGAUAUGGGUUACUACUUGUAGUAUUGCCCGUACAUUCUUGUAUAUUUAUUNGCAGAGUGUUGUCGGCGUGCACUUUUCCCCUAGUAGGACGUCGCGACCCGUUGAGCGUCUGUCUACGGCCCAAGUGGGAGCUUUCAAUGAAUUUUAUUCGUUGGAAACCCUUGGUGUUUCCUGACAGGCACUCGGCGGUAUUCAUAUGGUAUUGAGUCGCAAAUUAUAUGCGUCCCUGUCCGUCGCAAGCGAGGUUAGUUACUGAUAGUGCGGACCUAGUGCCGUCGUUGGUGCUAAUCAGCUGUUGGUUGAUGGAAUUCUAGGACUGGCUCAUUGAAAUACCGGUCAGCGAUGCUACUGCUUUGGGUACUUUCAGGACCCGUCUUGAAACACGGACCAAGGAGUCUAACAUGUACGCGAGUCAUUGGGAUUUUUUUGAAAUUAAACCUAAAGGCGUAAUGAAAGUAAAGGUCGUCCUUGUGACGACCGAGGGAGGAUGGGCUAUGUUACGAGAUAGCUCCGCACUCCCGGGGCGUCUCAUUCUCAUUGCGAGAA